UCCUCAGGGCUGAUAACAAAAUGGAUAUCUAUUAUGCUCCUCCUCUGCUCGCCUUCAACAGCUAGCUGCUAUCAACAUGGGCAGCAGAGCAGCCAUGUCACACAAGAUUAAUAGCAAAGUGCAGUGUCAUUUGUGGAAGCAAAGUCAGGAAAGCCUCCAACCAUGAUCUAACCUGACCCUGGAAAAAUCACAGGAGAGACAAAAAGUGGCUGUAGUGAGAUGAUGGCUUUGUAAGAAGCAGUUGUGCUCCAGCUGUGGCUCCGUGCUGAGGAUGUGACUUUGUUGUUUUUUUGAACACAACAGCACAGGUUUGUGUUUUCACUACUUCUCCACCCUUCUGCUAAGCUGGCUGUGUGGGUCUGUAGGGCUGUCCCAGGACUGAAUUGUGCUGUGAAGUGGAGCUCAUGCCCCCCUCCUUCUCUUUGUGCUUUCUCCAUGUUAUUUUCCCCACCAGCUCAGCUCCUUUCUUGUCAUCUGCAGCAUAAUCAGUGCCCUGGCAUGGCUGGGGAUUACUGAGGUGGGGCAAGGACUCAUCUAAGGAAAGAAAGAUUUUCUGUGUCAAUGUGUGGAUCUGAGAAGCACAGGUUAUUUUUGUUACGUUGUCAAACAACUGAAAGGACUGACAUUAGCUCCCUGGUUCCAAUUAACAAAGCCACUUUAAAACCUUGUUGCAAUCACCUGGUUUUAACCCGUAGCUAGAGGCCUUUUUAACACUCCUCUAUAGGUGAAGGCUCCUUCCUUCAGUUUGAGCCAUGCAAAUAGGAAUCAGCCAUAUGCAUCUUGCUGGUAUGGGUAUUUUGAAGCUCUUUCCAAAUACUUUUGCCAGUUACUGCAGAAAAGCUUUUAUAUUGGUACCAGUGUGUAUAUUUGGCUUUCUUCCAGAAGCUGUGAGAGGGGCACAGUAUGUGCUGCUGCAUUAUUUUACCAGCUGAAUAAAUGCCAUCCCUUUCUUAAAUAAGAAACUUGGUCUACAGUAGAACAAGUAUUUCACUGCAUAAACUGGUUCUGUGCAUCCUGAACAGGAACUCAGUGCCUUUACUGGGCAGAGAUGCUUGGCUACGUGCAAAGAACCCCAAUAUUUUUACUGUGGCAGAUUCUAACUGUUCCAAGUUGUGCAUGUUUUUUCUCCCAUUGGAUGAAUUGGCUUUUUAAAGCAGCAGCUGAGAACAAGGGGAAUAUGUGAGGCCUGAGGGGGGGAAGAAAUCUUUACAAAAUCUCAGGGUGAACUUCUGAUUUGGGCCACGUGACUGAAAAUGUGGAUCCUGGACUUUUACCCCUUGAUACAUGCUGUUGUUCAAGGUGGUGAG